rnacentral:lncRNA from 1 species
CAAAAGAGCAGUGAGAUAAAAGCAAGAUAAUUAACAUCACAGAUAGUUUCCACUAUGCUCACUUCUCAAACUACCCAGCUGCAGUGGGUGAGUAUGAAGUAGGAACAAAAAGUGUUGAAGAAUGGAAGAAAUGGAAGAAGUGUUGAGCUGUAUAAGUGUUGGGUAAGGAAUCUGUUUU